UAUAGGGUAGGCGUAGCGAAAGCGAGUCUUAAUAGGGCGUUUAGUCGCUGGGUAUAGACCCGAAACCGGGCGAUCUAUCCAUGAGCAGGUUGAAGGUUAGGUAACACUGACUGGAGGACCGAACCCACUCCCGUUGAAAAGGUAGGGGAUGACUUGUGGAUCGGAGUGAAAGGCUAAUCAAGCUCGGAGAUAGCUGGUUCUCCUCGAAAGCUAUUUAGGUAGCGCCUCAUGUAUCACUCUGGGGGGUAGAGCACUGUUUCGGCUAGGGGGUCAUCCCGACUUACCAAACCGAUGCAAACUCCGAAUACCCAGAAGUGCCGAGCAUGGGAGACACACGGCGGGUGCUAACGUCCGUCGUGAAAAGGGAAACAACCCAGACCGCCAGCUAAGGUCCCAAAGUUGUGGUUAAGUGGUAAACGAUGUGGGAAGGCUUAGACAGCUAGGAGGUUGGCUUAGAAGCAGCCACCCUUUAAAGAAAGCGUAAUAGCUCACUAGUCGAGUCGGCCUGCGCGGAAGAUGUAACGGGGCUCAAACCACACACCGAAGCUGCGGGUGUCACGUAAGUGACGCGGUAGAGGAGCGUUCUGUAAGCCUGUGAAGGUGAGUUGAGAAGCUUGCUGGAGGUAUCAGAAGUGCGAAUGCUGACAUGAGUAACGACAAUGGGUGUGAAAAACACCCACGCCGAAAGACCAAGGGUUCCUGCGCAACGUUAAUCGACGCAGGGUUAGUCGGUUCCUAAGGCGAGGCUGAAAAGCGUAGUCGAUGGGAAACAGGUUAAUAUUCCUGUACUUCUGGUUACUGCGAUGGAGGGACGGAGAAGGCUAGGCCAGCUUGGCGUUGGUUGUCCAAGUUUAAGGUGGUAGGCUGAAAUCUUAGGUAAAUCCGGGGUUUCAAGGCCGAGAGCUGAUGACGAGUCGUCUUUUAGAUGACGAAGUGGUUGAUGCCAUGCUUCCAAGAAAAGCUUCUAAGCUUCAGGUAACCAGGAACCGUACCCCAAACCGACACAGGUGGUCGGGUAGAGAAUACCAAGGCGCUUGAGAGAACUCGGGUGAAGGAACUAGGCAAAAUGGCACCGUAACUUCGGGAGAAGGUGCGCCGGCUAGGGUGAAGGAUUUACUCCGUAAGCUCUGGCUGGUCGAAGAUACCAGGCCGCUGCGACUGUUUAUUAAAAACACAGCACUCUGCAAACACGAAAGUGGACGUAUAGGGUGUGACGCCUGCCCGGUGCCGGAAGGUUAAUUGAUGGGGUUAGCGCAAGCGAAGCUCUUGAUCGAAGCCCCGGUAAACGGCGGCCGUAACUAUAACGGUCCUAAGGUAGCGAAAUUCCUUGUCGGGUAAGUUCCGACCUGCACGAAUGGCGUAACGAUGGCGGCGCUGUCUCCACCCGAGACUCAGUGAAAUUGAAAUCGCUGUGAAGAUGCAGUGUAUCCGCGGCUAGACGGAAAGACCCCGUGAACCUUUACUGUAGCUUUGCACUGGACUUUGAGCCUGCUUGUGUAGGAUAGGUGGGAGGCUUUGAAGCGUGGACGCCAGUUCGCGUGGAGCCAUCCUUGAAAUACCACCCUGGCAUGCUUGAGGUUCUAACUCUGGUCCGUAAUCCGGAUCGAGGACAGUGUAUGGUGGGCAGUUUGACUGGGGCGGUCUCCUCCUAAAGAGUAACGGAGGAGUACGAAGGUGCGCUCAGACCGGUCGGAAAUCGGUCGCAGAGUAUAAAGGCAAAAGCGCGCUUGACUGCGAGACAGACACGUCGAGCAGGUACGAAAGUAGGUCUUAGUGAUCCGGUGGUUCUGUAUGGAAGGGCCAUCGCUCAACGGAUAAAAGGUACUCCGGGGAUAACAGGCUGAUACCGCCCAAGAGUUCAUAUCGACGGCGGUGUUUGGCACCUCGAUGUCGGCUCAUCACAUCCUGGGGCUGAAGCCGGUCCCAAGGGUAUGGCUGUUCGCCAUUUAAAGUGGUACGCGAGCUGGGUUUAGAACGUCGUGAGACAGUUCGGUCCCUAUCUGCCGUGGACGUUUGAGAUUUGAGAGGGGCUGCUCCUAGUACGAGAGGACCGGAGUGGACGAACCUCUGGUGUUCCGGUUGUCACGCCAGUGGCAUUGCCGGGUAGCUAUGUUCGGAAAAGAUAACCGCUGAAAGCAUCUAAGCGGGAAACUUGCCUCAAGAUGAGAUCUCACUGGGAACUUGAUUCCCCUGAAGGGCCGUCGAAGACUACGACGUUGAUAGGCUGGGUGUGUAAGCGUUGU
rnacentral:rRNA from 1 species